UACAGAGGUCUCAAGCGUUGUUCGGAUUCAUUGGGCGUAAAGGGUGCGUAGGUGGCGCCGUAAGUCGGGUGUGAAAUCUUGGAGCUUAACUCCGAAACUGCAUUCGAUACUGCCGUGCUUGAGGACUGGAGAGGAGACUGGAAUUCAUGGUGUAGCAGUGAAAUGCGUAGAGAUCAUGAGGAAGACCAGUGGCGAAGGCGGGUCUCUGGACAGUUCCUGAUACUGAGACACGAAGGCCAGGGGAGCAAACGGG
rnacentral:rRNA from 1 species